AAAAAAACGAACAGUCUCAGUUCGGAUUGAAGGCUGAAAUUCGCCUUCAUGAAGCCGGAAUUGCUAGUAAUGGCAGGUCAGCAUACUGCCGUGAAUACGUUCCCGGGCCUUGUACACACCGCCCGUCACACCAUGAGAGUUGGGAAUACCCGAAGCCUGUGAGCUAACUUUAAGAGGCAGCAGUCGAAGGUAGAAUCAAUGAUUGGGGUGAAGUCGUAACAAGGUAUC
rnacentral:rRNA from 1 species